rnacentral:lncRNA from 1 species
AGUACCUGGGAUUACAGGUACACGCCACUACAGACCCAUCUAAUUUUUGUAUUUUUAGUAGAGACGGGGUUUUACCAUGUUGGCCAGCCUGGUCUUGAACUCCUGACCUCAGCUGAUCAACCUGUCUUGGACUCCCAAAGUGCUGGGAUUACAGGCGUGAGCCACCGCGCCCUGCUGAGCAGUGAUAUUUUAAAAAUUAUCCUUUGUAGCAAAGAAACUCACCAGUUUGGAGACAGAAGGUCAAUGUGGAAAAAAAUAUGAGUGUAUCCUUCCAGCAAAUUUGAGAAAGCCUAAAAAAUUAGAUUUGCCUUUAUACAUAUAUAAAAAAAUUGUGAUAUCUAGUAUUAUUCUUAUACCUGUUGGCCAUUUGCAUAUCGUUUUAUUAGAAAUGUAUAUUUUUCUCCUUUUUCACUUCUGUUGAUUAUUUAUUCUGCUGAGUAGAAGCAUUUUAGUUUAAUAUAGUCACAUUUGUCUAUUUUUGAUUUUGUUGCAUGUGCUGUUUCAGUAUAAUGUUAGCUGUGGGUUUGUCAUAUAUGACCUAUAAGAUGUGUUUUUUUCU